rnacentral:ncRNA from 1 species
CAAAGGUUUGGUCCUAGCUUUACUAUCAGCUCUAGCCUAAUUUAUACAUGCAAGUAUCCGCAUCCCUGUGAGAAUGCCCUCAAUCCCCCGACCGGGGACGAGGAGCAGGCAUCAGGCACCCUUAUUUGCCCAAGACGCCUUGCUACGCCACACCCCCAAGGGAAUUCAGCAGUAAUUAACAUUAAGCCAUAGGUGAAAACCCGACUUAGUUAAGGCUAAAAGGGUCGGUAAAAUUCGUGCCAGCCACCGCGGUUAUACGAAAGACCCCAGUUGAUAGCCACGGCGUAAAGGGUGGUUAGAGAGUACAAUAAAUAAAGCUAAAGAUCCUCUAAGCCGUCAUACGCACUCCGAGGGCACGAGACCCCUACACGAAAGUAGCUUUAAACAAAACCCACUUGAACCCACAAAAGCUAAGAAACAAACUGGGAUUAGAUACCCCACUAUGCUUAGCCUUAAACCUAGAUGUGACAAUACACUAACAUCCGCCAGGGUACUACGAGCACAGCUUAAAACCCAAAGGACUUGGCGGUGUCUCAGACCCACCUAGAGGAGCCUGUUCUAGAACCGAUAACCCCCGUUAAACCUCACCACUUCUUGUUUUCCCCGCCUAUAUACCGCCGUCGUCAGCUUACCCUGUGAAGGUCUAACAGUAAGCAAAAAGGGCCAACCCAAAAACGUCAGGUCGAGGUGUAGCGCACGAAGUGGAAAGAAAUGGGCUACAUUUUCUACAAACAGAAUACUACGGACGGCAUACUGAAAAAAUGCCUAAAGGUGGAUUUAGUAGUAAAAAGCAAGCAGAGUGUGCUUUUGAACUAGGCUCUGAGACGCGCACACACCGCCCGUCACUCUCCCCUCACAUUCACACUUCAACCCACCAUCACUAAUAAUACAACCAUCACUUCGGGGAGGCAAGUCGUAACAUGGUAAGUGUACCGGAAGGUGCACUUGGAAUAAU